rnacentral:misc_RNA from 1 species
CCAUAUAUGCUUGCUUGGAUGGAGCAAUCCGUUCUGCAACAAACCCCUUCUGUGUAUCUGUUCAAUGUUGCUUUCGCCGGCCUGUGGGUUAUCCAUUUCACGAGAGUGGAAGGAAACUCCCUUCGGUGCCUGAUCGAAAUUGGUCGGCUGGGGAGCUGCUGGCGAGAGACAUGCUUAAAACUCUGUGGUAUUACCAUUCAUGAGCAAUGUCUGAGCUUUAAUGCUAAACAUUAACUUGUUA